GGCAGAGAUUGAAUCCGAUUCUUCCUCCUGCUCUUUCCCCCUUUUCCCCUCAAAAGAAAGAGAAAGAACAGAUUCUUUACUUCAUAUUGGCUGCAUCUUUUUUAUCUUCAAAGCACCAGCUACGCCAGAGGAAGAAAAAAAGCAGAGCAUCAAAAUGGCGGGGGCAGACAGAAUCGCUUCGCUCUUUUGAAUCAGACACGGACAUAAGUUUGACAAUGGCAAAAGCAAUUGCUACGCACUUAUUCCCUCGAGCUUAUAUCCAUCGCAUUCGGACGCAGCCUCGAAUGCAAAAGCUAUAAAAUUUCACGCUCGUAAAUGUGAAGUGAGCAAGCAAAGGAUCAUCGGAGUCGACCGUGAACCACGGUUGGCGGAGGCCAUGAGUGGCCGCGCAAGUAAUUUUGCUCCGGCGCCGGCCCCCGAGCCAUCUCAAUGGGACUACUUCGAUUUUGAUCUUCUGAGCGAUGAUGAGCUUCCGAGUCCGCCUCCGCUUCCACGAGCUCUUUCGUAUCGAACGAUUCCACCAGCGCCACCACCGACUCGGCCUUCUGUCCCGGAAAGAGUGAUGUCACGGCUAACUCCUUCUCGUUUAGCUGGGAAAGAGCACGCCAGGAGAAUCCAUAGAUCAUCUUAGCAAUGAGCGGCAGUGCAAGUAAUUUCGCUCCGGCGCCAGACCAUGAGUCGUCUCCAUGGGACUAGUACUCCGGUGUUGCUCCUCUGAGUCCGAUUGUGCUUCCACGUGCUGUUUCGUACCGAAUGACUCCGCCUGUAAGUACAAAACUGCGGAAUAUAUUGGCUUCGCGCGCCCAAUGUGGGGAUUUGAAGCCGCACACAACAAGUGUUUGAUUAAAUGCCUGAGACACGCUCGGGAAUGAGUAAAACUAGCACGAGUUCUUGCAUUUAAUUGUUUUUGUGUGCUGCAACAUGUUUUGGCAACAGCGGACGAUUUGAUCCAGCAUGUUGUUUGCAAGAUGAUUAUAGAAAGAGCCCUUCCAUGUCUGCAAUGGUUAAAUGCUCGCAGGGCUUAGUUAGUAUAGAAAGCCCAAGUUCUAGCUUCUUAUUUCCUUCCAGUCCUAGCAAGCAGAUUGUUGACGAAGUUACCCAACCAUCAGCCCUUGCAAUUAUCAGGUCCUAGGUGAAGAAAACUAGUUUCCAGUAUAAGCUUGGACGCCUCGAUGGACAAUUGGAUAGCGCUGAGCUUCUAAAAUUGUUCACAGUGUUGGGUCAAAUGAAUUUCAUUUGGAACAGAACUUAUUUCCCUUAUAAGCUCCUGCGGAUUAAUUCUUUAGGAGCUCUCAUUGCAUCAUUAAACUUUUGCUAUCAAGUGUCUUCCUUUCGGAUAAUGAAAUGAACGGGUUAAAUGAAUUUCAUUUGGAAACAUUGGAGCUGACUUAAUUUCAAAUGAAAAAGAGGAUGUUGAACCA